ACUGCACAUUGUUAGAGCUUGGAGUUGAGGCCGCCGGGCGAUGAACUCACAAGUGCAGGUAGUGUGCGACACGAGCAGCAAGUUUUUCGCUAACACCACAAGGGUCUCUGGCCCAAUGAGUAGGGUUGGAUAGUAAUACUUGCUACAAAA
rnacentral:snoRNA from 1 species